rnacentral:lncRNA from 1 species
GUCAGCAUUAUCCUAUAGAAUAGUGGAUCUUUGUGCCACAAGCAGGAGGCUACAGUCCUAAGACACAGCCCACCCUGCACAGUCCUUCCCUUUGCCAUUUUAGGACAGGGGUGCAGCCCUUACAGCCAGUGCUGCUGGGGCAGGCCUCCCAGGUACCUUCCAACCUCGGAGCUGCACUGACCCCCUCUUUUGGCUGCUGCCAUGAACACUGAAGGUGAAAUGAUGAAGGAAAAUCCACCCCAGUAGCGCCAAGGCCAGCACCCCACAUGCUGUCCCUGCAAAGUCAGAGCAGGGGACACGGCAGGGAGAGUGGGGAGCGUCUGCUUCCUUUUCCUCUCCACCCUGACUUGCUUUAACAGGGUCUUUGGGGUGAGGGAAGUGUAGCACCCCCUAGGAUGCCAUGAGCUGAGGAGAUUUGAGUCUGGGCCUCACCCUGCUGGGGGUGGGUGGUCUUAGUCACUCAGUUUUCUGUGGGGGGUUGGGGGAUAGAAGUGGUGGUUGUGGUCAGUGGUAAAGGGUCCCUGCAGGGAGGUGCUCCUGGUUUUCUACCUCGGUGAAGGAUCUUUGACACAGGCAACCUCCAUCCAGGCACCCAGUGGAAACGGACAGCUGACCAUAUAGCCCAGUGCCUUUUCUGACACACUUCUUCCUUGGGGAAGUUGAGGUUGGGGGCGGGCUGUGCACAGGGCUCCCCAGCCUCCCUGUGUGUCUGCUUCCUUCCCUGCCCUCCGCCCGGUGGCCCCAUGGCCCACAGCCCACAGGGAAGCAGGUUGGUGCCACCCCUGCCUCCCCUCCGCAGCCGGCGGGCCUGUAAAUGCCUCCCUUGGGCCCCCAUGAGGCCAGUGAGCCAGAAGCCCCUCUGACCCAGAGGUCACUGUGACCAGC